UGCUCUGCAGGAAGCUCCCAUCCCGCCCCGACGGCCAUGGGCACCAGGCUGCUCUGCUGGGCAGUGCUCUGUCUCCUGGGGGCAGAACACACGGAUGCUGGAGUCUCCCAGUCCCCCAGGCACAGGGUCACAGGGAGGGGACAGAAUGUCACUCUCACGUGUGACCCAGAGUCUGGUCACUAUACCCUUUACUGGUACCGACAGAGCCAAGGGCAAGGCCUGCAGUUGAUGAUGUACUUCCAAGGUAAAGAUCCAGCAGAUGAGUCAGGGCUGCCUGGUGCCCACUUCUCCGCUGAGAGGCCUGGGGGAUCUUCCUCCACCCUGAAGAUCCAGCCUGCACAGCCCGGGGACUCAGCCGUGUACCUCUGUGCCAGCAGCUUAGACACAGUGUGA